GAAAGAAAAGAAGGGGGGAGAGAGGGGAAAAAAUCAUCCCCAAGUAUAACAAGAGACGAACAGUUAGUGCCGAUUUUCAUUUGCAUAAAUUUUCAUAUAUUUUAGUGAAAAUAAUAGCGGGAGCUGAGGAGUGCUCCUGCUCAGUUGAGGCAGAGGAAAGAAAAUCUUAGGGAGCACCGAGUCGUGUAGGAAAAACGGGAGAUAACCGGUCAGAGGACACGAAGUCCAGAUAUUUCCUCCUUUUCUUGGACUCGAGGAGCUCCUGACUUCAUCCACAAACACAAACUUCAUUCACCCACUGACACCCCUCCUUUCCCUCGGAGGAGAACCUCUGGAGAGCCAAACGCCAACGGAACAAAGUAAGACGUGAAUGUGAUUCACUGAGAAACAAUUCUACAAAUGUGAGACAACAUUCCCAUUUCAUUACAUAUUUAAAGGGAUUUUCAGCCAUUUUUGAUGUGCACAUCGAUGUGAAAGCUGCAAACAAUUAUUAUCCUGCUUGUAAAUAGCUGCCUGAAUGGUCUCUGCUCGAAGGAUUGAUAAGCUAACAGCUAGUCUGAGGAACUCUAAGACCAUCAAAAUGCCAUUUAUUGCAGGGCAAAUCACACAUUAUUUUAUUGUCCGAGUAUUUACAAGUGUAAAUUAUCACCAUCAUCAGCAAAAUGUAGCAGUAAAUCCAGGGGUCAGGCCCAGCAGGAUGUUUUAAGUAUUCCCGCCAAAAUAACAGUAGAAAUUUAAAUUGAUGGUAGUGCAAAGAUUUAUGCAUGAACAGCAGUGAAACUUUGGGAAUCUAAUUUUUUCUAACACAGCAAAGAUUUUCCAUUAAAACAGAACUCUGGAUUUUUUUGUCAGAGGACACCAUCUAGAGGUAGGAAAAUGUAUUGCAUAUUAAGCCCUUCUCCCUUUACGCCCGUGAUUACGACUGAAAACAUUCAUGAACACUUGCCUCUAUAGCCAUGCAACAAAGCUAAGACUCAUAGUUUUAAAAUUAUUUCUCUUACGGUAUGCUGUACAUUCAUAUAUAUAUAUAUAUAUAUAUAUAUAUAUAUAUAUAUAUAUAUAUUAGGGCCGGGACUUUAACACAAUAAAUAUGAUUAAUUAAUUAGAAAAAAAUGACCCGUAAAAAAAAAUUAACGAAUUUAAUCACAACUUGCAUUUUGAGCACGGCGGAACCUUUGUCAUUGCACGAUUUCCUCGUAGAUUGAACAUCACUGACGCACACAACAAUGCACAGUGCUAAUGGCUACUAAACGGAAUAAAAACAGAAAGAAGUUGCCUUGCUUGGACUGAUGCAAGAUUUAGGAAACACGUCCCUCUUUUUUCUUAACUUGGAAAAAAAAAAACUUCCAGACAACAACGGAGUCCGUAUCGCGGACAUUUUUCAGAGAUCGUCUCUGCUGCAGCUGCCUGAUGGCACCAGAAACUUUACAAAAGUUGCAGUAAGCUAUAUUUUAAACAUUUACGUAACAUCUGUGCAGCGCUGAAAGCACCAGACAGAAUAAUUCUUUGCCCUAACAGUAGUUUAUGAAAGUACUCAGACAAACGAGAGGCACCUGGCUGCAGCUGGGAGAACGCUCCGUGUUCUCACUACUCUGUAAACAAUCACAGACAACAUGUCUUAUAGUUGAAAACAGAAGUUUAAGUUAAAAUAUAAACACUCUAAAAAUGUGAUUGAUUUAGAUUAAUUAAUCACAAAGCCUCUAAUUAAUUAGAUUAAAUUUUUUAAUCGAGUCACGGCCCUAAUGUAUGUGUUAACUCAUUCACUGUCAGCCGUUUCCUGAUCAGUAAAGCCAUUCGCUGCCAGCGUUUUCCAGUGCUUUUACUGUUUUUUUAAGAGUCACAGAACGUUGAGCGCUAGGAUGAUGUUAACGCAAAAACUAACAAAACAAAGAGAAGAAUCCGUGUGUUUCGAGCGUUAUCCAUUCUUCCAUAAUCCGUUGUCGAAUUGUGAUCGGCAGAAGCUUUUUCCAGUUUGCACCUCACUUUUUUAACAGCAGCGGCCCAAAAUUAUCUUCUAACGUGACAUGGAUGAAGAUCAGCUUUAGAGCUGGGAUGUUUAUUCUCACGGUGCGGGGCUCGUUCCGACACCCACACAGUAAAAAAAAAAAAAACACAAACACAGUGAAGAAGUUAAAGACUUACUUGCUCUAGGUACAUCCUCAAACGCUUGUGCACGCUCCAUGAUUGACAUCUGUACAUAAGCGGAUCUCUAACGCUAUUGGCUAAUGCUGAGCAGUGCUCAAAUCAAAUUGCAAGGGGCUCUUUGGGACGGGGGCAGGCUUAGCAAAAAAUAAUUUAUGUAUUGCCUACAUUAUAUCAUACUACAAGCUAGCCAGAGAAGGUGAGAGAAGAAAGAUGGGUUGAGAGAGAGAGAAGUAAAAGAAGCAAUCUAUGUGAAAUGGGAAAGACCUACAUUAAACAGAGGAGGAGGCCUGAGGUUUCCAGCACCUAAAAUGCAGCUCUAAAUCUAAUUUCAAAACUGUUUCAGUCUAGGUCACACCCUUCUGCAUUUUAACAACCAUUAUAACACAAUAGGUCAUAAUGACAUCAACGACUCAUCAGAGGUUUGAGAGGAGGGGUAUUCAUAGUUAGUUUCAGCUCUUUAAGCAACAAUAGACAGUUACAGAUUAUAAGCUCCACUUUCCCAUAUUCCAGUCAAAAUUGACAAAGCUCCUCAGAUAAGAAGCGAAACAUCUUCAAGAAACCAAAGAAGUCCAGUUACCUUCAUUUGAACCCUUUGGAUUACUUGCGAAGACCAUCAUGUUUAUUGAUUUCUAAAACCCGGAAAGCGCAUUUAAUUGAUUCUGUGUAUGAAAUCUGCUAUAUAAAUAAAGUUGCCUUGUCUUGCCAAAAAAAAAAAAAUCAUACAAAUAGGAAAAAUGAUUGCUGCUUUAAUUUAGGACCCAUCAUCAACAAAGGUAAAUACGACUAUCAUCGGCAAAAGGGAUCCAGGAAUCAUGCCCGGCAGGAGUUCAAAUGAUCGAUUUCUACCAAAAAAACUACACCCUACAGUUUUAAGAUGGCGGCAAUUGAGUUUUUAAGAAACCCACUUCCAAAAACCAUUGCUGCCGUUUGAAUGUAAGCUCCACAGUCGUUCAUAGAAUACCUUUUAAUAAACUUUUCUGUCGCUUUUGGUUUAGCAUGCAGUUAUUUUAGCAAUGACAUUAAGACAUUCCUGUCAGACUCGACCAGCUGUGUCAAAGCUGGUUAAACAUUCAACUUCCAAUGAACCUUUGUAGACUGGUGCCAUUUAUGAAAACAAGCAUUUCACUAGCUGUUAGCUCAUCAGUCACACAUCAUUAUCUGAAUGGGGUCAUUAAAAGAAGCUAUCUACAGUGGGUAAAAUCAUAAAAUUCCUUUACAGCUGUUUUAUUGUUGUUCAGAGGCAAGAGCUUGAAUUUUGUACCGUGUUUUAAAAAAUAUGCAAUAAAUACAGAUCAUCAGAAGCUAA